UGUUACUCUGCCCAGUCUGCUACCAUAGAAGAAGAAUGUAGACCAAUAGUACUUUGACGAUGUCCGCUGAUCGUUUCCGUGUAAAUCUUAGCAUUGCUUUAGCCGUCAAGCUAAAGGUUUAGCUUCAUACUGCCAUAUUUGCAGAGUAACAAAAUAUUUAAACGGUCUCAGAUCAUGGACAGUGAAGUGUCUGACACUGACCAUGUACCAGUGCCUGAGAACACUGGUAUGGAGGGGAGAACGCACCUCUUUACUGUAUUUGUCGGAAACCAGACAUCAACUGCUUCAUGAUACUUUGCCAUGAUAAAUUGGUCAGUUGACAACCAGGAGCCGUACACCUUAACCUCAGAGGCCAGGACAUCCAGGGGCAGUGUGAACACGCACUUGCUUAAAUGGGACGCAAGACGGACUAUAGAGGGCCACCCGCUUGCCAGACAACCAAGUGCUGUCCCUGUCCACGGCCAGUGUGAGAAGGACUCUCACUAAAGUCAACCCACACAAAGCUGCUGGACCAGACAAUAUACCUGGACGCGUGCUCGGAGCCCGUGCUGACCAGCUGACUGAUGUCCUAGCGGGCAUCUUUAACAUCUCCCUGAGUCAAGCUGUUGUGCCACAGUGCUUUAAAACCACCACCAUCAUACCUGUCCCCAGACCUUCCCAAAGCCUAAUUACACAAUGAUUGCCUGAGCCUAUUCUUGUUAAAUGA